rnacentral:rRNA from 1 species
GAUGAACGCUGGCGGCGUGCUUAACACAUGCAAGUCGAACGGUGAAGCAGAGCUUGCUCUGUGGAUCAGUGGCGAACGGGUGAGUAACACGUGAGCAACCUGCCCCUGACUCUGGGAUAAGCGCUGGAAACGGCGUCUAAUACUGGAUAUGAGCUGCGACCGCAUGGUCAGCAGUUGGAAAGAUUUUUCGGUUUGGGAUGGGCUCACGGCCUAUCAGCUUGUUGGUGAGGUAAUGGCUCACCAAGGCGUCGACGGGUAGCCGGCCUGAGAGGGUGACCGGCCACACUGGGACUGAGACACGGCCCAGACUCCAACGGGAGGCAGCAGUGGGGAAUAUUGCACAAUGGGCGAGAGCCUGAUGCAGCAACGCCGCGUGAGGGAUGACGGCCUUCGGGUUGUAAACCUCUUUUAGCAGGGAAGAAGCGAAAGUGACGGUACCUGCAGAAAAAGCGCCGGCUAACUACGUG